ACUGGCGUCCUUCGGGCGUCCGAGUUGUAAUCUAUAGAAGUGUUUCUCCGUGCCGGACCAUGUCCAAGUCCCUUGGAACAGGGUAUCAAAGAGGGUGACAAUCCCGUACUUGACAUGACCACCGGUGCUCUGUGAUACACUUUCUACGAGUCGAGUUGUUUGGGAAUGCAGCUCAAAAUGGGUGGUAAAUUCCAUCUAAAGCUAAAUAUUGGCGAGAGACCGAUAGCGAACAAGUACCGUGAGGGAAAGAUGAAAAGCACUUUGGAAAGAGAGUUAAACAGUACGUGAAAUUGUUGAAAGGGAAACGAUUGAAGUCAGUCGUGUUCUUUGGACUCAGCCGGUUCUUCCGGUCUAUUUCCUUUGAACGGGUCAACAUCAGUUUUGUCCGGUGGAUAAAGGCAGGAAGAAAGUGGCUCCCUCGGGAGUG
rnacentral:rRNA from 1 species